GAGAGCACAGUACGAUGAAAGUUGUGAGUUGUGUUCGGGGAGGAGUUAUUGUCUAUCGUUGGCCUCUAUGGUAGAAUCAGUCGAGGAGGCCUGAGAGAUGGUGGUUUACCCUGU
rfam:Picea glauca, whole genome shotgun sequence.